GGAUGUUCCCAGGGAUUUGAAGGACUCCUGUUUCCUAGUAAUACUCACAGAUGCUAAUUCCAGCAAAGAUGUUCCAGACGAGCAGAGCCAGACUAUCCAUUAAAUACAUUUAUGACAGCACAGACACAGCCAGAUCAGCGUCAUCCUCACAGCUACCGAUAACCUCGAACUGGCUCACAGAUGUACUGGGUAAAAGAACAGCAUUGCAAGAAGACUGCACUGUAUGCAUUUCCAAAGCCCAAACAUCUCGAUGGAACUCAGAACAUGCUGACACCUCAAAACAAGCUUUCCUCAGACUAGAUUUUAUUUUC